AAGUCGUAACAAGGUAACCGUAGGUGAACCUGCGGUUGGAUCAUUACUGAAUACUCAUUACUGCGCAGAUUUCGAUUUGCGUGGUAUAUGAUAUACACCAACCCCCCUUAAUUGAACCACAACCACCGCAAACUUUGGCAGCCCUCCAAAACAGUGGGUUUGUUCUUCAUUGCUUUCGGGCAAAGAAAGCACUCCCGCUUGGGCUGUCAGCAAUUUGCCCACACCAAUAUAGUAUUUACUCAAGUCUCCCAUUUGUGUGAAAGCACAAGUUUUUUAAUAAAAAACAACUUUUGACAACGGAUCUCUUGGCUCUC
rnacentral:misc_RNA from 1 species